CAGGAGUAUUGUGAUGCUGCGAAGAGAUGUAGAAAUACUUAGGAGGACACAGGGUGGUGUCUAGUGUGUGGGGCCAGAACAUCAGCUACACAUAGUUUGAGUAUGUAUAUGAAGUACAUGGUAGCUACAGGAAAGUAGUUUUUUCAUCAGAUAAACUUAGAUUUGAAUCUUCUGGUUAUGACCUGAGGCAUGUUUCUAAACUCUGAAAGCCUCAGUUUCUUCCUCUGUCCAGCAGAGAUAGUAAUUACCUUUUUUGGGGUUUUUGGACAAUUAAAUGAGAUACAACCUACAAAAGGUUGAACACAA
rnacentral:lncRNA from 10 species